AGAGUUUGAUCCUGGCUCAGAACGAACGCUGGCGGCAUGCCUAACACAUGCAAGUCGAACGAGACCUUCGGGUCUAGUGGCGCACGGGUGCGUAACGCGUGGGAAUCUGCCCUUGGGUUCGGAAUAACUCGCCGAAGGGCGUGCUAAUACCGGAUGAUGUCGUAAGACCAAAGAUUUAUCGCCCAGGGAUGAGCCCGCGUAAGAUUAGGUAGUUGGUGAGGUAAAGGCUCACCAAGCCGACGAUCUUUAGCUGGUCUGAGAGGAUGAUCAGCCACACUGGGACUGAGACACGGCCCAGACUCCUACGGGAGGCAGCAGUGGGGAAUAUUGGACAAUGGGCGAAAGCCUGAUCCAGCAAUGCCGCGUGAGUGAUGAAGGCCUUAGGGUUGUAAAGCUCUUUUACCCGGGAUGAUAAUGACAGUACCGGGAGAAUAAGCUCCGGCUAACUCCGUGCCAGCAGCCGCGGUAAUACGGAGGGAGCUAGCGUUGUUCGGAAUUACUGGGCGUAAAGCGCACGUAGGCGGCUUUGUAAGUCAGAGGUGAAAGCCUGGAGCUCAACUCCAGAACUGCCUUUGAGACUGCAUCGCUUGAAUCCAGGAGAGGUGAGUGGAAUUCCGAGUGUAGAGGUGAAAUUCGUAGAUAUUCGGAAGAACACCAGUGGCGAAGGCGGCUCACUGGACUGGUAUUGACGCUGAGGUGCGAAAGCGUGGGGGGCAAACAGGAUUAGAUACCCUGGUAGUCC
rnacentral:rRNA from 1 species